rnacentral:rRNA from 1 species
UACGAAGGGUGCAAGCGUUACUCGGAAUUACUGGGCGUAAAGCGUGCGUAGGUGGUGAGUUAAGUCUGUCGUGAAAUCCCCGGGCUCAACCUGGGAACUGCAUUUGUGACUGCACGGCUGGAGUGCGGCAGAGGGGGGGAUGGAAUUCCGCGUGUAGCAGUGAAAUGCGUAGAUAUGCGGAGGAACACCGAUGGCGAAGGCAAUCCCCUGGGCCUGCACUGACGCUCAUGCACGAAGCGUGGGAGCAACAGG